GCUAGAAUAGUUCAAUUGGUUAGAGUGUGUGAUUGUUAACUAUAAGGUUGGAGGUUUGAGCUCUCCUUCUAAUG
rnacentral:tRNA from 1 species